rnacentral:rRNA from 1 species
CCUACGGGUGGCAGCAGUGAGGAAUAUUGGUCAAUUGGCGGAAGCCUGAACCAGCCAAGUCGCGUGAGGGAUUAAGGCCCUGCGGGUCGUAAACCUCUUUUGCCGGGGAGCAGAGGUCCGGACGUGUCCGGGCCGGGUGAGUACCCGGAGAAAAAGCAUCUGCUAACUCCGUGCCAGCAGCCGCGGUAAUACGGAGGAUGCGAGCGUUAUCCGGAUUUAUUGGGGUUAACGGGUGCGUAGGCGGGCAUUUAAGUCUUCGGUCAAAUGUCGGGGCUCAACCCCGGCCUGCAGUCGGAACUGGUAGCCUUGAGUGGGCGAGAAGUAUGCGGAAUGCGUGGUGUAGCGGUGAAAUGCGUAGAUAUCACGCAGAACCCCGAUUGCGAAGGCAGCAUACCGGCGUCCUACUGACGCUGAGGCACGAAAGUGCGGGUAUCGAACAGGAUUAGAUACCCGAGUAGUC